rnacentral:rRNA from 1 species
UACGAAGGUGGCAAGCGUUGUUCGGAUUUACUGGGCGUACAGGGAGCGUAGGCGGUUGGAUAAGCCCUCCGUGAAAUCUCCAGGCUUAACCUGGAAAGUGCAGAGGGGACUGUUCAGCUAGAGGAUGGGAGAGGAGCGCGGAAUUCCCGGUGUAGCGGUGAAAUUCGUAGAUAUUGGGAAGAACACCGGUGGCGAAGGCGGCUAUCUGGACCGACAUUGACGCUGAGGCGCGAAAGCGUGGGGAGCAAACAGG